CCUACGGGUGGCAGCAGUGAGGAAUAUUGGUCAAUGGACGAGAGUCUGAACCAGCCAAGUAGCGUGAAGGAUGACUGCCCUAUGGGUUGUAAACUUCUUUUAUAUGGGAAUAAAACGUUCCACGUGUGGGAUUUUGUAUGUACCAUAUGAAUAAGGAUCGGCUAACUCCGUGCCAGCAGCCGCGGUAAUACGGAGGAUUCGAGCGUUAUCCGGAUUUAUUGGGUGUAAAGGGAGCGUAGGUGGAUUGUUAAGUCAGGUGUGAAAGUUUGCGGCUCAACCGUAAAAUUGCAGUUGAAACUGGCAGUCUUGAGUACAGUAGAGGUGGGCGGAAUUCGUGGUGUAGCGGUGAAAUGCUUAGAUAUCACGAAGAACUCCGAUUGCGAAGGCAGUUCACUGGACUGUAACUGACACUGAGGCUCGAAAGUGUGGGUAUCAAACAGGAUUAGAUACCCCAGUAGUC
rnacentral:rRNA from 1 species